rnacentral:rRNA from 1 species
UUCCUACGGGGGGCAGCAGUGGGGAAUAUUGCACAAUGGGGGAAACCCUGAUGCAGCGACGCCGCGUGAGUGAAGAAGUAAUUCGUUACGUAAAGCUCUAUCAGCAGGGAAGAGAGUGACGGUACCUGAGUAAGAAGCCCCGGCUAACUACGUGCCAGCAGCCGCGGUAAUACGUAGGGGGCAAGCGUUAUCCGGAUUUACUGGGUGUAAAGGGAGCGUAGACGGCGAAGAAAGUCUGGAGUGAAAGCCCGCGGCUUAACCGCGGAACUGCUUUGGAAACUUUUUGGCUGGAGUACCGGAGAGGU